rnacentral:lncRNA from 12 species
GCCAACCCGGCCAGAUGGCUCCGCGCUCAGCGCCUUAACCCCUUCGGCGCCGACGCCCGCCCCCGCGCCCCGCCGCCGCGCGCCUCGCCCGCUGGCGCCCCUGCGCCCCUGAGCCUUGGGGCUGGGGGCGGGCAGUGGGGCGACAGGGUCGUUUCUUCUAGCCUGUCCUAAAGAAAACCACCAAAAACUUCCGAAUUAAUAGUAUGCUGCAGGAUCCCUCCUUUUAGAGAUCCAGGAAAAAACGAAAUAUCCAACUUUUCACUACAUUUUACAUGUUCAUGUCUGCAGCCUGUCUUGUUUGUUCCGUUUCUUUAAAAAUUUCUUUUUGAUCUUCUUUUUCCUUCCUUUUUAUUUAAGAUUUUCCUUUCUAGGCAGAAGGGCCUUUCCUGCCCCUUCCCCCUGGCGGCUUGGGUCUAAUGUGCAAACUCCUCCUCCAAACCUUAGACCCUUCCAGCUCUAGAUCUCUCCCCACCUCCUAUCAAGCCCACCCGUCACUCCUUCCCCCACCCCACAGCACGAACACGCCCAAGGACAGUCGCUCCCCAGCGAACUCGCUGCACUCAGGGACCAGUCCCCAGGACGCUGUGCAGGCGGUCAAGGACAGCGAGUCAGAGAGAUCACCUGAUACCUCUAAGCAACCAGGUGUUUCUUUGAGAAGCCAGAAGCUGAUAACCUGGACUUGCUAAUCUAACCCCCAGUCCAUGUUCUUUGUAGUGGAAGACUCUGGGUGGAGAUUCUUUCCACUGGGAGGUGGGUGCCAACUCUCCCUUUCAAACUUGUUCGUCAGCAAACCAUAGAGGAUGCCAGAGAUGUUUGGGGCUACAGAAGCACCAUUGGAAUAAGUAAAUAACUUUACAAGACAGUUAUUUCAAGGUAGUAUAUAAUUUAGAUGUACAAGUUUUUGGUUAAAAAAGUAAAUGAAGG